CAGGUUUCCACUAGUAAGCAGGCUCAGGUAUAGGUGGAAUUCGAGGUGGGUGAUACAGGUGCAAAGUUGAAAGCCAUGAAUGCAUUUAAAGCUUUCAAAGCCCCAGUCCCAAUUGCAUGGAGUCCUAACUUAUGCAUAACCUUGGUGAGGGGCAUUCCUGGAACCAGGAGACUUCAUAAACGUAACUGUCAUGCGAUGGAAUACUCCCACUGUUAGGGGAAUGCUCCAACAGUUAAAGAGGUUAGUUGUGAUUGAGACAGAAGAAAUGUACAAGGCCCGCAAACAAAAUGUGGCAAACCAUCAAGCUUUGCGUCCCCCAUUGGUCGUGAACCACUCACCUGCGCACUCAAGCAAUUCUCCCUAGAGCAUGCAGUUGUUUUGUGUAGUUCAUUAGAGGUCAGCUCUCUUUUUCUAGUGUGCGUCUGUUGCUUAUGGGAUCUUUUUCCGGUAGUGUACUUUCAUAAGUACGGCUGGUUAAUGAACUGAACUCAGAAUUUUGUUUAAUUAACGUAAUGGAUACAGUUGCAAAUUAACUUUU